rnacentral:rRNA from 1 species
CGCGUAUACAAUCUGCCUCAUACUGAGGGAUAGCCUUUGGAAACGAAGAUUAAUACCUCAUAGUAUCAUUGAAUGGCAUCAUUUAGUGAUUAAAGGUUACGGUGUGAGAUGAGUAUGCGUCCUAUUAGCUAGAUGGUAAGGUAACGGCUUACCAUGGCAACGAUAGGUAGGGGUCCUGAGAGGGAGAUCCCCACACUGGUACUGAGACACGGACCAGACUCCUACGGGAGGCAGCAGUGAGGAAUAUUGGACAAUGGAGGCAACUCUGAUCCAGCCAUGCCGCGUGAAGGAUGACUGCCC